ACAACAUUCGGACCGUCGGUCUACCCGAUCGGUGGAAGAUCUUCCCUUUAUCAU
rnacentral:pre_miRNA from 1 species